UUUGAGUUUGAUCAUGGCUCAGGAUGAACGCUAGCGGCAGGCUUAACACAUGCAAGUCGAGGGGUAAGGCUUUCUUUCGGAGAGUACACGACCGGCGCACGGGUGAGUAACGCGUAUGCAACCUGCCUCUUACAGGGGGAUAGCCCGAAGAAAUUUGGAUUAAUAUCCCAUAGUUCAUAGAUAUCGCAUGAUAUUUAUGGUAAAGCUCCGGCGGUAAGAGAUGGGCAUGCGUGACAUUAGCUAGUUGGUGAGGUAACGGCUCACCAAGGCCACGAUGUCUAGGGGGUCUGAAAGGAUGAUCCCCCACACUGGUACUGAGACACGGACCAGACUCCUACGGGAGGCAGCAGUGGGGAAUAUUGCACAAUGGAGGAAACUCUGAUGCAGCGACGCCGCGUGAAUGAUGAAGGCCUUCGGGUCGUAAAAUUCUGUCCUUGGGGAAGAUAAUGACGGUACCCAAGGAGGAAGCCCCGGCUAACUACGUGCCAGCAGCCGCGGGA
rnacentral:rRNA from 1 species